UACGUAGGGUGCGAGCGUUAAUCGGAAUUACUGGGCGUAAAGCGUGCGCAGGCGGCUUUUCAAGACAGAUGUGAAAUCCCCGGGCUUAACCUGGGAACUGCAUUUGUGACUGCAUGGCUGGAGUGCGGCAGAGGGGGAUGGAAUUCCGCGUGUAGCAGUGAAAUGCGUAGAGAUCGGGAGGAACACCAGUGGCGAAGGCGGCCGGCUGGGGGGGACCUGACGCUGAGGCGCGAAAGCGUGGGGAGCGAACCGG
rnacentral:rRNA from 1 species